UACGUAGGGGGCUAGCGUUGUCCGGAAUCAUUGGGCGUAAAGCGCGUGUAGGCGGCCCGGUAAGUCCGCUGUGAAAGUCGGGGGCUCAACCCUCGAAAGCCGGUGGAUACUGUCGGGCUCGAGUGCGGAAGAGGCGAGUGGAAUUCCUGGUGUAGCGGUGAAAUGCGCAGAUAUCAGGAGGAACACCGGUGGCGAAGGCGGAUCUCUGGGCCUUACCUGACGCUGAGGCGCGAAAGCUAGGGGAGCGAACAGG
rnacentral:rRNA from 1 species